AUUUAAUCACUAAUCUCCCGAAAAGCCAUGCGAUUAGUUUGUAAUAGCAUAGUUUCGCUCCCAUUUAAAAAUGGACAAACAUGCCCUACUUGGAAUCAGCGUAUUUAAGCUAAAACAUUUGCUUCAUUGCUUGUGGGAUGUAAAAGCUUGUUGCACAUGCGCACUUUUUACGCUUUAAUCGGUUACGCAUGCGCAAUCUAUUAUUUAACGUACCACAACAAACACGCUAAAUAUAUUAGUAUAAAUUUGGAGACUGCACGUGCGUAAUUUAAAUGAUGCGGCAACUCAGGGAUCGGAUGAUAGACUAUUGACGGCUCUGAGCUAACUGUUGCUGUUCCUUGCACGAUUAUGUGCGUGAGGCACUUGCCUAAUGCGUAG